rnacentral:SRP_RNA from 1 species
UCUGGUGGUGCGUGCCUGUAGUCCCAGCUAUUCGGGAGGCUGAGGCUGGAGGAUCUCUUGAGUCCAGGAGUUCUGGGCUAUAGCGCGCUAUGCCGAUUGGGUGUCUGCACUAAGUUCGGCAUCAAUAUGGUGACCUCCUGGGAGUGGGGGAUCACCAGGUUGCCUAAGGAGGGGUGAACCAGCCUAGGUCGGAAACAGAGCAGGUCAAAACUCCCGUGCUGAUCAGUAGUGGGAUUGCUCCUGUGAAUAACCACUGCACUCCAGCCUGGGCAACAUAGUGAGACCCUGUCUCU